AGGGCCAAGUUGGCGACUCUGUCCUUAAGU
rnacentral:piRNA from 1 species